UUCUAAUUUUAAAAAAGCUUGUUAGCAGAGUAUACACAAGAAGAAAAAUAACUGCACUAGACUGUAAAGACUGGGGUGGACCUCUUUCUUAAUGUCCAGUGUCCUUUGUCUUAAGAUUUGGUGCAACAUGU